rnacentral:rRNA from 1 species
UUGUCCUGUGACUGCGUACCUUUUGUAUAAUGGGUCAGCGACUUAUAUUCAGUGGCAAGGUUAACCAUCUAGGGGAGCCGUAGGGAAACCGAGUCUUAACUGGGCGUUCAGUCUCUGGAUAUAGACCCGAAACCAGGUGAUCUAGCCAUGGGCAGGUUGAAGGUUGAGUAACAUCAACUGGAGGACCGAACCGACUAAUGUUGAAAAAUUAGCGGAUGACUUGUGGCUAGGGGUGAAAGGCCAAUCAAACCUGGAGAUAGCUGGUUCUCCCCGAAAGCUAUUUAGGUAGCGCCUCGGACGAAUACUACUGGGGGUAGAGCACUGUUAAGGCUAGGGGGUCAUCCCGACUUACCAACCCUUUGCAAACUCCGAAUACCAGUAAGUACUAUCCGGGAGACACACGGCGGGUGCUAACGUCCGUCGUGGAGAGGGAAACAACCCAGACCGCCAGCUAAGGUCCCAAAUUACUACUAAGUGGGAAACGAUGUGGGAAGGCUCAGACAGCCAGGAUGUUGGCUUAGAAGCAGCCAUCAUUUAAAGAAAGCGUAAUAGCUCACUGGUCGAGUCGGCCUGCGCGGAAGAUGUAACGGGGCUAAGUAGUAAACCGAAGCUGCGGCAAUGUGCUUUUGCACAUUGGGUAGGGGAGCGUUCUGUAAGCGGUUGAAGGUGUGUGGUAACGCAUGCUGGACGUAUCAGAAGUGCGAAUGCUGACAUGAGUAACGAUAAAGGGGGUGAAAAACCUCCUCGCCGGAAGACCAAGGGUUCCUGUCCAACGUUAAUCGGGGCAGGGUAAGUCGACCCCUAAGGCGAGGCCGAAAGGCGUAGUCGAUGGGAAACGGGUUAAUAUUCCCGUACUUCUUACAAUUGCGAUGGGGGGACGGAGAAGGCUAGGUGGGCCUGGCGACGGUUGUCCAGGUUCAAGUGCGUAGGCUUAAGAGUUAGGUAAAUCCGGCUCUUUCUAAGGCUGAGACACGACGUCGAGCACCUACGGGUGUGAAGUCAUUGAUGCCAUGCUUCCAGGAAAAGCCUCUAAGCUUCAGAUUGUAAGGAAUCGUACCCCAAACCGACACAGGUGGUCGGGUAGAGAAUACCAAGGCGCUUGAGAGAACUCGGGUGAAGGAACUAGGCAAAAUGGUACCGUAACUUCGGGAGAAGGUACGCUCUCGACGGUGAAGUCCCUUGCGGAUGGAGCUAUUGAGAGUCGCAGAUACCAGGUGGCUGCAACUGUUUAUUAAAAACACAGCACUGUGCAAAAUCGUAAGAUGACGUAUACGGUGUGACGCCUGCCCGGUGCCGGAAGGUUAAUUGAUGGGGUUAGACUUCGGUCGAAGCUCUUGAUCGAAGCCCCGGUAAACGGCGGCCGUAACUAUAACGGUCCUAAGGUAGCGAAAUUCCUUGUCGGGUAAGUUCCGACCUGCACGAAUGGCGUAAUGAUGGCCACGCUGUCUCCACCCGAGACUCAGUGAAAUUGAAAUCGCUGUGAAGAUGCAGUGUACCCGCGGCUAGACGGAAAGACCCCGUGAACCUUUACUACAGCUUGGCACUGAACAUUGACCCUACAUGUGUAGGAUAGGUGGGAGGCUUUGAAGCACGUACGCCAGUAUGUGUGGAGCCGUCCUUGAAAUACCACCCUUGUAGUGUUGAUGUUCUAACGUCGACCCCUUAUCGGGGUUGCGGACAGUGCCUGGUGGGUAGUUUGACUGGGGCGGUCUCCUCCCAAAGAGUAACGGAGGAGCACGAAGGUGGGCUAAUCACGGUUGGACAUCGUGAGGUUAGUGCAAUGGCAUAAGCCCGCUUGACUGCGAGAAUGACAAUUCGAGCAGGUGCGAAAGCAGGUCAUAGUGAUCCGGUGGUUCUGAAUGGAAGGGCCAUCGCUCAACGGAUAAAAGGUACUCCGGGGAUAACAGGCUGAUACCGCCCAAGAGUUCAUAUCGACGGCGGUGUUUGGCACCUCGAUGUCGGCUCAUCACAUCCUGGGGCUGAAGUCGGUCCCAAGGGUAUGGCUGUUCGCCAUUUAAAGUGGUACGCGAGCUGGGUUUAGAACGUCGUGAGACAGUUCGGUCCCUAUCUGCCGUGGGCGUUGGAAGAUUGAAGGGGGCUGCUCCUAGUACGAGAGGACCGGAGUGGACGAACCUCUGGUGUUCGGGUUGUGUCGCCAGACGCAUUGCCCGGUAGCUAAGUUCGGAAUCGAUAACCGCUGAAAGCAUCUAAGCGGGAAGCGAGCCCUGAGAUGAGUCUUCCCUGAUACUUUAAGUAUCCUAAAGGGUUGUCGGAGACUACGACGUUGAUAGGUCAGGUGUGUAAGUGCUGUGAGGCAUUGAGCUAACUGAUACUAAUUGCCCGUGAGGCUUAACCAUACAACACCCAAGGGGUUU